AUUGAACGCUGGCGGCAUGCUUUACACAUGCAAGUCGAACGGUAACAGGUUAAGCUGACGAGUGGCGAACGGGUGAGUAAUGCAUCGGAACGUGCCCAGUCGUGGGGGAUAACGCAGCGAAAGCUGUGCUAAUACCGCAUACGAUCUAUGGAUGAAAGCGGGGGACCGUAAGGCCUCGCGCGAUUGGAGCGGCCGAUGUCAGAUUAGCUAGUUGGUGGGGUAAAGGCCCACCAAGGCGACGAUCUGUAGCUGGUCUGAGAGGACGACCAGCCACACUGGAACUGAGACACGGUCCAGACUCCUACGGGAGGCAGCAGUGGGGAAUUUUGGACAAUGGGCGCAAGCCUGAUCCAGCAAUGCCGCGUGCAGGAAGAAGGCCUUCGGGUUG
rnacentral:rRNA from 1 species